rnacentral:rRNA from 1 species
AGGAUGAACGCUGGCGGUGUGCCUAAUACAUGCAAGUCGAACGGGAUCUUCGGAUCUAGUGGCGAACGGGUGAGUAACACGUUGGUACCUACCCCGAAGUGGGGAAUAACUGCCCGAAAGGGUGGCUAAUACCGCAUAAUACCGCAAGGUUAAAGCAGUAAUGCGCUUCGGGAGGGGCCUGCGUCCCAUUAGCUAGUUGGUAGGGUAAUGGCCUACCAAGGCGACGAUGGGUAGCUGGAUCGAGAGGUUGACCAGCCACACUGGGACUGAGAUACGGCCCAGACUCCUACGGGAGGCAGCAGUAAGGAAUCUUCCACAAUGGACGAAAGUCUGAUGGAGCAACACCGCGUGCAGGAUGACGGCCUUCGGGUUGUAAACUGCUUUUAUAGUGGGAAGAUUAUGACGGUACCAUAUGAAUAAGGACCGGACUAACUACGCGCCAGCAGCCGC